rnacentral:rRNA from 1 species
GAUGAACGCUGGCGGCGUGCCUAAUACAUGCAAGUCGAGCGAACAGACGAGGGGCUUGCUCCUCUGACGUUAGCGGCGGACGGGUGAGUAACACGUGGAUAACCUACCUAUAAGACUGGGAUAACUUCGGGAAACCGGAGCUAAUACCGGAUAAUAUAUUGAACCGCAUGGUUCAAUAGUGAAAGACGGUUUUGCUGUCACUUAUAGAUGGAUCCGCGCCGCAUUAGCUAGUUGGUAAGGUAACGGCUUACCAAGGCAACGAUGCGUAGCCGACCUGAGAGGGUGAUCGGCCACACUGGAACUGAGACACGGUCCAGACUCCUACGGGAGGCAGCAGUAGGGAAUCUUCCGCAAUGGGCGAAAGCCUGACGGAGCAACGCCGCGUGAAUGAUGAAGGUCUUCGGAUCGUAAAACUCUGUUAUUAGGGAAGAACAAAUGUGUAAGUAACUAUGCACGUCUUGACGGUACCUAAUCAGAAAGCCACGGCUAACUACGUG